UAAUUUAAUAUUAUAAUUAAAUAAAAAAAAUAUUAUCCUUUUCAUAUAUAAAUUAUUUUCUAUAAAACAAACAAUUCUUAAUAUCUACUUCUACUUAUAUAUAAUUCAUUCAUUAGUUUGCCAUUUUAUAUGAAUUUGCCGUAUAACUUUGUCAGGAUAUAAUUUUUCCCAAAGAACAGCACAAAAAUUAGAAAGCAAUAAAGAAACGGAGAUAAAUCUGUAAUUUCGCACAUGUUACAUGUUGGAAGAAUAUACCACGGUACAAUUCCCUCAACGGAAUAACUAUAAAUGCGCGCCAGUUGUCAAUACGGGACAGGUGGCAGUCAGAUAUAGGUCGUUGACAGAUGGAACCACAAGCCCACAUAAAAACUAACGGCUUUAACUGUCUCCGUUACCGUAUCCUUUUACUUCGCCCAGUAAACGACUCACUGAGUCUGAUCCAAACUAUCCCUAAACGACAUCGUCUCAUUCACAUUUAACAGAAUAAUGAGUAAACACUAAUUACGCAUAAUUAAUCAAAUUCCUCAAGUUUUCUAGCUAUACACAUUGAUACACAAGUAUGUACGAGAGAAUUUUCCCGGAAACCAAACAGAAAGAAAUUAUCAAUUAAAAAAAACAGAAAGAAAUUAAGAAAAAACCAUUACUGCUACUGGA
rnacentral:misc_RNA from 1 species